rnacentral:lncRNA from 1 species
UUUCCAUCUGAUCAGGUUUUGGUGGAGAGCAGUGUCUAUGUUUUGUGGUCUCAACUGAAGACUUAAUUACAGCUCUUCUAUUACUCCACAAGUGCUACCAAAGAGAGUUGCAAGAGCAUUCAGCAAUAUUCAAGGAGGUCAGACUGGAGAAAGACUAGACUUUUGCCUACUUCUUGAUGUGCUCCUGGCUAAUCCCAUGCAGAAGGUGGAGAAGUCAAACAAGUUAAAAUUAAACUUUGUGGAAGAAUUGGAUUUAAAAAUAAUAAUAAUAAAAUAAAAAUAAAUGAAAAUGAAAAAUAAAAAGGAAAAAGAAA